rnacentral:rRNA from 1 species
GCCCCCACCAGACCAGUGGGUUGAUAGGCCAGAAAUGGAAGCACAGCAAUGUGUGGAGUUGACUGGUACUAAUAGGCCGAGGACUUGCCCACAA